rnacentral:sRNA from 1 species
UGGCAAAGGCCAGGCACCACCGCCAGCAGGUUGUUACCACACGAAUGUACAAAUAUUGGAAUGCCGUAGCUGACACGUUUCUUGCAGCUAUCGCCAGCACUUUCCACUUUGGUGUCGGAAGAAAUGUCUGUAAAUAUAUAGUUUUUAAUUAUAAUUUGCCGAAGCAGCUGGAUCAGGAGGUGGAGACGGUGGAGUAGAACACUUACCAAAUGAGGGAUAUGAUACUCAUCUAUCAUGAUGCAAAAAGCUCGCCAUCCACAAUUGGCACUCUUUGGAAUGUUCUAAAAAGGAACCUGCGCUGACCGGUUGUUGGGUCUGCUGCUCCUUGGGCUUCGGAGUGAGAGUACCUUUGGCCUGUACCGUGCCCGUAUGUUGCUUCUGGAGGCUAUCCGUCUUCACUUCAC